rnacentral:tRNA from 1 species
GGCCGGUUAGCUCAGUGGGUUGAGCGCGGUACUGGUAACACCGAGAUUGCAGGUUUGAUUCCUGUUUGGUCCC